GUAGUCUCGCACAGAUGCAUAUCAAUAAGCGGAGGAAAAGAAACUAACAAGGAUUCCCCUAGUAACGGCGAGUGAAGCGGGAAGAGCUCAAAUUUGAAAUCUUAAAGGAUUUCCCUUUACGAAUUGUAGUUUAAAGAAGUAGUUUUCUGUUGAGGUUUUGGUAAAAGUUCUUUGGAAUAGGACAUCAUAGAGGGUGAGAAUCCCGUAUUUGACCUUUACUUUCAACUUUGUGAUACACUUUCAAAGAGUCGGAUUGUUUGGGAAUGCAGGUCCAAAAUGGGUGGUAAAUUUCAUCUAAAGCUAAAUAUUGGCGAGAGACCGAUAGCGAACAAGUACCGUGAGGGAAAGAUGAAAAGAACUUUGAAAAGAGAGUUAAACAGUACGUGAAAUUGUCAAAAGGGAAGCGUUUGACACCAGUGUUGUUUUUCUGAAAAUCAAUUAAAGAACUGUUUAUGCUAAGCUGUUUAGACUUUAUCAGCUAUCUGCUUUAGUUUUGAGCUUUUCUUUAAUGCACUUUUCAGUUAACAAGUCAACAUCAAUUUCUUUUGCUGUAAAAAAGCUUGAGGAAGGUGGCUUGAGAAUCGUCUUAAGUGUUUAUAGCCUCUUGCCUAUGCAGUCGGAGAGAUUGAGGUCUGCAGCGUAGAUCCUUCGGGGCUAAAUGCAUUUGUGCUAAGUUAUAGCAGUUUUAUAGACAACUUGUUGACUAUGAUUUGUCUUGUAGCUUACUCGCUUAUGUUAUUUUACCUACGCUUAGGAUGUUGACGCAUGAGAUAUACGC
rnacentral:rRNA from 1 species